CCCUUAGACGUUCUGGGCCGCACGCGCGCUACACUGACGGAGCCAGCGGGUAUAAACCUUGGCCGAGAGGUCUGGGAAAUCUUGUGAAACUCCGUCGUGCUGGGGAUAGAGCAUUGUAAUUAUUGCUCUUCAACGAGGAAUUCCUAGUAAGCGCAAGUCAUCAGCUUGCGUUGAUUACGUCCCUGCCCUUUGUACACACCGCCCGUCGCUACUACCGAUUGAAUGGCUUAGUGAGGCUUCCGGAUUGGUUUAGAGAAGGGGGCAACUCCAUCUUGGAACCGAGAAGCUAGUCAAACUUGGUCAUUUAGAGGAAGUAAAAGUCGUAACA
rnacentral:rRNA from 1 species